GAGCCGUGUUGUGGAAACAAGAAGGAUACGGCUGUGCCGUGCUCGGAGACAUCGAUCAGCGCUGAUUUCGCGAACGUCAUGCGCGAACCUUGAAAGCGCGAGACGAGGGCGACGAGAUAAGAGACGAGGUUCCUACCCGUCGACUGAUGAUUUCAGCGGGAUGACGGGUAUGCAACAGCUGAGCACUUAGCAUCCUGGGCCGAUGACAAGGAUGGAAGGAAAGGAAUCGUCCCCGGGGACUCAUCGGUACUUCCGCUGGCGCGGAGAUAGAGAUUCUCGCCGGAGAGAUCGCCACAGUUUGUAGAUAUCGUGUUCUCAACACUUUCGUCGGCGCGAACAUCACGAUGGUUUGUGACGAAUGUGCACGGGCUAUUUAAACUCAAUGAUAUUACGGUUCUUACCGAUGCAAUACUCAUUUUACCAUUUAAUAUUAAUUCUAAUUUAAC